rnacentral:rRNA from 1 species
AAUCAACGCUGGCGGCGUGCCUCAGACAUGCAAGUUGAACGAUUAAAGCUCUCUUCGGAGAGUGCAUAGAGUGGCGCACGGGUGAGUAACACGUAAGUAAUCUACCCUCGAGUGGGGAAUAACAGUCGGAAACGGCUGCUAAUACCGCAUAAUGCAGCGGCACCGCAAGGUGACAGUUGUUAAAGGAGUAAUCCGCUUGAGGAGGAGCUUGCGGCAGAUUAGCUAGUUGGUAAGGUAAUGGCUUACCAAGGCUACGAUCUGUAUCCGGUCUAAGAGGACGGUCGGACACACUGACACUGAAUAACGGGUCAGACUCCUACGGGAGGCAGCAGUCGGGAAUUUUGGGCAAUGGGCGAAAGCCUGACCCAGCAACGCCGCGUGAAGGAUGAAGUAUUUCGGUAUGUAAACUUCGAAAGAAUGGGAAGAAUAAAUGACGGUACCAUUUAUAAGCUCCGGCUAACUACGUGCCAGCCGCCGCCGUAAGAC